UUAAUAUAUAAUUAUUUUUCCCACUGUAAAAGUUUUAAAACAUUAAAUUAUAAAGUAAUAGUGAUAGAAACAUGAAUUAUCAGCUUAAGUACUGCAAAGGAAUUUCUAAAUAAUAUUUUAUUAACUAAAAUAGUGUACUUUUUGCAUCACGGUCACGUAAGAAGACUUAAAAAUUUUAAAUCUCGAAAAUCGGUGAGCUAUUUUUUCCUAAUAUAUCAAACUAGGAUGUAGCAAAAUCCAGUUUAAAGGAAAACCUAGAAAUGAGAUUUUAUUCGCACCGACGAUAGCUAGUUCUUCCUAAAAAACUUAAAAGAGUUGGAUUAAUUAUAAAGUUUUGAAACAGCUAGAACUUUAUUAAAAUAAAUCUCAGACUUUAGAGGAUAAGCUCUAAAGUAAGUUAAGGUGAGGCAUUCUAUUUAUAAUAUAUAGGCUUAGAAUUAGCCAAUAUAAAAAUUUGUUAUAAAUUAUUCAAUGAAUAAAUUAAAAAUCGAUGUGCCCCCAACUAAUUAUAUAAGGAAGGUAAUUACUUUAAUUAUUUAGUAAUAUAAUAAUGCUAGAAUGAGUAUUACAACUAUUUCUAAUGAGUAGUAUAUUUAAUACUACUUUGUCAACGAAUAUAAAAUAGAAAAUUAUAGAAAGGAAUUCGGCAAACUUUUGUUUCACCUGUUUAUCAAAAACAUGGCUCUUUGAAUUUUUCACAUAAGGAGUCAAGCCUGCCCGGUGAAUUUUUUUAACGGCCGCGGUAUCCUGACCGUGCAAAGGUAGCAUAAUCAUUUGCCUUAUAAUUGAAGGCUAGUAUGAAUGGCUAGAUGAAAACAAAGCUGUCUCUUUUUAAUUUUUUAGAAUUUAACUUUUUAGUGAAGAGGCUAAAAUAAUUAAAAAGGACAAGAAGACCCUGUCAAGCUUGAAAGAAACCGUGGGCGUUAAUAUAACUUAAAUAAAUAUACCUCUUAGACUUUUUAGUUGGGGCGACUAAGGAACAAAAAAAGCUUCAUUUAAUAACAAAAACUAACACGUUAUGAUCCAGUUAAUAAUGAUCAAAGGAAUUAGCUACUGCAGGGAUAACAGCAUAAUCUUCCUAAAGAGACCUAAUCGAAAGGGGGGUUAUGACCUCGAUGUUGGACUAGAAUAUCCUAAAGAUGCAGAAGUCUUUAAAGGUUA
rnacentral:rRNA from 1 species